rnacentral:rRNA from 1 species
UACGUAGGGGCCAAGCGUUGUCCGGAUUUAUUGGGCGUAAAGAGCUCGUAGGCGGUUGGGUAAGUCGGGUGUGAAAACUCCAGGCUCAACUUGGAGAUGCCACCCGAUACUGCUCUGACUAGAGUCCGGAAGAGGCAAGUGGAAUUCCCGGUGUAGCGGUGAAAUGCGCAGAUAUCGGGAGGAACACCAAUGGCGAAGGCAGCUUGCUGGGACGGUACUGACGCUGAGGCGCGAAAGCCAGGGGAGCAAACGGG